CAGUCGCCGCGGUAAUACGUAGGGUGCAAGCGUUAAUCGGAAUUACUGGGCGUAAAGCGUGCGCAGGCGGUUUGUUAAGACAGAUGUGAAAUCCCCGGGCUCAACCUGGGAACUGCAUUUGUGACUGGCAAGCUAGAGUACGGCAGAGGGGGGUGGAAUUCCGCGUGUAGCAGUGAAAUGCGUAGAUAUGCGGAGGAACACCGAUGGCGAAGGCAGCCCCCUGGGCCAAUACUGACGCUCAUGCACGAAAGCGUGGGGAGCAAACAGGAUUAGAUACCCCCGUAGUCCCUGUCUCUUAUAC
rnacentral:rRNA from 1 species